GCAGAGCCAUGUGGAGCAGCCUGCCCAGCGCACAAGUAUGGAGUCUGUCUCAAGUACCUGCAGAGCUACUGGCUGAGAACUACCUAGAAACCCCCUGCUACUUUCAAUGCAGAGACCAACUUUGAAGAUGAAUCAGGGCUGUCCAGUGAAGGAGAAUGUCAGUAAAGUGGGGAUAAUAAUGCCUCCUCGUGUCACACAGAUGGUGCAAAUGGACACAACAUGAUGUGAAGCAGUCUACUUCAUAUUUGCGUCUCUGCUGCUGAUUCCUGCCCUUAUUAUCUGAAAGAGUAACUUAGUGGUUCAAAGUGGUUCAACUGGACUAGUCAUCACAAAGAGAAAUGGGGAAGAAAACCAACGUAAUAAAAUUAGGCAUUUAAGUGCUUGCUUGGUACUAAGCCUUGCUUCUUUUCUAUUCUACUUUGUAGUCAAAUCUUACUGUGAGUUGUACAAUAUUUUAUGUUUCCUUUAAAGACCCUGUUCCUAGAGUCAUGUGAUUAUGUGAAAAAUCUCAGCUUUCAAUGUUACAAAAAUGAGGAAGUUUGAUAAAACUCCUGGUGGCAGAAAAAAGAAAAAAAAAGACAGAAAACAUUCAGGCUGAAGACUCAAAAACCAGAAGGUAGAUGCAAAUAACUCCAAUUUUUAUUAUUUAUCAUUUUUUUAAAAUUAUUUUAUUAUUAUUAAAGAUUUUCAUGAUUCUAACUCCUGAAAUUUGAACACGUGGAGUUGGCAAUAUUGGAAGUUUGAGCAAAAGAUUCAAUAUGCAAAACAUUAAAAUAUAUUCGUGCAGGAAAAUUAAGAUGCUGUGGGAUUCAAUCCUUCUGAUAAAACAACUUUUGUGCCUCAGUUUCAUAAUUCUUUAUUUCUGACAGUUUUCAAACGUAAAAGUUAGGAGAGACAAAAUUGUUGGAAUUGUAGGUAACUUUUGGACUAAAACAAAUUAAAAUUUUAGGAAUCAAUGAUAUCUCUUUCUACCAAUUUUUAUUUGCUCUGACUGUUAAAGAUCAUAAUUCUUGUUUUCUAAAAGAUUUUGGGUAUAUCUGAAAUCACUGGAAAAAUUAAUAUUGGAGUGAAAUAUGUGUUUAUACAUUACUCUUGGGGGAUAUGGGAUAUGACUCUUCUUCAUUUAAUUAGGCAAUUGGGGUUGCGGUAAAUGUACAAUUAUUUUUGUAUUAAUUUUUUUAAAGAAGUGGAUAACGUUUUUUUUCCUAUACAUGCUUUUUAUGAUUGAAAGGUUAAAAAAGCCUUUUGCCUGUAAAAACAAAAUAAAAUAUUCACGUUUACUGCUUGUG